GAAACUGAGGCAGGGCACGUGGGAGGAGACCCGGAUGUCCUGGCGUCCAGUGCACUUUUCUCGUGCUGUUGUCCAGUUCUUGCACACCUGGUAUCUCCAGGGGCACCGGGUCCCAGCUAAGAUCCAGGACGCCCAGGGAGAUGUCAGUUUCAGAUAAACAGGAGCUCCUCUCUUGGCAUGUCCUAAAUCUGGCAUGGGGAUGCUGUGUCUCCUGCAGGUUUGAACGGUUGAAAGCCCCAGCUCUAACAGUCCGAGAGCUGACAUUUAGCUGGGUGUCCUGUGAACCCAGAAUGGGGCCCAGGAGGAGUAUGCUGGGAAGCAGGGGAGCAGAGGCAGAUCUGGGUGACCAGAAGGCCCAUUGCCUUCUCCCUGGGCACAAAGCCCAACCAUCACUCGUCACCUGCGGACUCCCCUGACCUCAGCAGACCCCUGCCCAGAGCAGUAAGGACCAGCUGCCGCCAGGCCAGGGAUCACCUAGCAAGGCGAGCACCUGAGAGAGGGCAGAUGUGGCCGGGCCUCUCUGGCUCCUGAGAUUUAGAGAUUUUAGAUCCUUCUUUUCUCUGGGUUUGGACUCUGGAAAAGUCCGAGUCUAACAGAGCAGGGUCUGAAGGGGUAGUGAGAGCCCCCCUUCAGGGCUCUCUGCCACGAGGGUGAUGUGGAGUCCUUGGCGUGUUUGUUGGCGGCCCCUCCGGCGUUGGGUAGCAUCUCCAGCAAGGGAAGAAGAUGCCUGUGGGAAAGGGAUCACGGGCCAGGCCCGUUAACUCUCACGAGUUGCCGGAAGCCUCCGGCAUCAGCUCGUGCCUGGAUUACACUAACAGCCUCCUAACCGACCCCUCUGACCUGCUCUUUCCUCUCCGUCCCUCCCGAAGACAGCUGUCCGAGUCGUCUUGCUAAACACCCUCUAUCAUCCAACGCCUUCCCCUUCUCAAAAGACCCCACCGGCUCCCUGUUUCCUGUGGAGCCAAGACAUCGAUUGGCCCCCAGCUUUUAAGAAUCUGUAAUUGGCAGCAUCCUAUCUGCCCACUUGGCUUCCCCCAGGCCCUUGAAAGAGGCCACAUUCCAGGGAGAAUGGACAUGUUUUGAGAUGUUUUCGACUGACCAGACCACCGGGCAGCUGCCUGCUUUCUCUUUAAAGCUGUCCCCUUUAUAGCCCCUUUUCCGUUCCCCUGAUUACAGCAAGGACCAAGGCAUAAUUAGGUGUUAAUGGCACUUAGCACCUCUGUGACACCUGCAAAUUGCUGUGGCUCUGUGGGACUGCUCGGAAUAAACCAGUUGCUCUUCCCUGCUGGCUGGGGUUGGGGCUCCUUGAUGGCGCAGACACACCACCCUGACCCCUCGCCUGAUCUUACACCCCCCCCGGGGGGGGGGUCCAGUCUCUGGUGACCAGACCGGAAGUAAUCCUGCUUUAGGACCAGCCAGCACUGGCACAGGAACAGCUCUGUGAAUAGGGCGAGGGUUUCAUCUCCACCCAAUGCUGUGUGGCAGGUGGCAGUGUCCCCACUUCGCAGAUUAGAAAACUGAGGCUUGAGGAGCAAGCAACCUGCCCAGGACUCACACCACUGGUGAGUGGGAGCACUGGAUGCAGAGCCCCCUCUGUCUGUUCCAGGACGGCGCUCUUGGCCCCCUCGCUCUUCCUUCUGGUUCUCUGGGCUCCCUUUUCAGCUGGGAAAAUCUGAGCCAUGCCUCGAGGCUCAGCUCUCCCUCGGGGCCUCCCUCACUCCGUUCUGUUUCUCUAAAUACCUUGAGCACCUCUAGAAGAGAUCAAAAGAGUCGCUGCUUUAUCCUCCAGGGGUGUGUGUGUGUGUGUGUGUGUGUGUGUGUGUGUGUGUGUGUGCGCGCACACUGGAGUGUGCUGAUCUUAAUCUCUCCAGCUGGAGUGUGAAUUUCUGGUGGCCUGGAAAUGCACCAUGACACCGUAAAGCAGCCGGCUUUGAGAGGAGCAUGUAGUCGGCACUAGGCCUAUUGAGUGAGUGCUUGCAGUGCCUGCAGUUUUUCGUUCCUGCUUAAGGCGAUGGUUGACUAACAGGCGAGCAGGUCCCCUUGCAGAAGUCAUGGUGGCAUCAGCCGGCUCUGCCUUUACUUACUCGAGGUCUGCUCCCUGCUGUGCUGCUCCCUAGCCACGGGGCUUCUCUGGACUGUUGAGUUCCCCGUCUGUAAAAUGGGCCACCAGGAAGGUCCUGUCUCUGAGGCUUUAUGUGCGUGCAGUGCCUUUAACAGAUCCCAAGCUCCUGUGUUUGGGAGUCAGCUCUGGGAUUGUGCUGCGCUGGCCCCCAGGAACCCUAAGGCGAACUGUGAUGCUUCCUCACCCUCCUCUGAUGUUAAUUGCAAGUCAUCCCAAGUCUGGGCGGGUCUAGAGCAGGAUUUCUCAGCCUCGGCAACUCAGCACUUGGGUCCGGCUCCUUCUGUGUUAUGGGGGCGGAGCGCUGUCCCAUGCAUUGUAGGAUGUUCAGCGGUGUCCUCGGACUCUGGGUGAGAUCUGCUGACCUGGAUCGUCCUCCAGCUUGAUCGUGCGUCUGACUCACCUGGCGGGCUUGCUAAACCACAGACUGGCAGCCCUGCCCCCAGAGCUGCCAAUUUCUCGGGUCUGCGCUGGGGGCAGGGGAGCGGGUAGCACAGAAUCUGUAUUCCCUCCCCCUUUUUUUUUAGGUCUGCACCUGCAGCGUAUGGAAGUUCCCAGGCUCGGGGUCGAAUUGGAGCUGCAACUCACAGCAAUGCCAGAUCCUUAACCCACUGAGUGAGGCCAGGGGUCGAACCCGCAUCCUCAUGGAUACUAGUUGGGUUCCUUACUGCUGAGCCGCAGCGGGAACUCCAAGAAUCUGUGCUUCUCAUGAGUUCUCAGGUGCUGCUGCCUCAGUUGUUCUGGGGAGCCCCACUUUGGGAACCACUGGACACGCAUAAUCGAAAAUGGCCAGAUUCUCAAAAAACAUGAGGAGUGACUGAUUGGAAUUAAACGUUUUUGUGUGGGACAUAACAGAGGUAUGGGAAUAAAUUGUAGGAGAAAGCUUAAAUGGGGCAGCCGUAAACCAGUGCAUUGUUAUCAAGCUUUUCCCAUUGCAGUUGUGUAAUAAAACUUCACGCAGAGACACAUAUGUGCCCACACAUCUUAAGAGGGAUGUCAUUUUCUUUUUUCUUUUUUUUUUUUUUUUUUUUUUUUUUUGUCUUUUUGCUAUUUCUUGGGCCACUCCCACGACAUAUGGAGGUUCCCAGGCUAGGGGUUGAAUCGGAGCUGUAGCCACCAGCCUACGCCAGAGCCACAGCAACACAGGAUCCGAGCCGCGUCUGCAACCUACACCACAGCUCACAGCAACGCCGGAUCGUUAACCCACUGAGCAAGGGCAGGGACCGAACCCGUGACCUCAUGGUUCCUAGUCGGAUUCGUUAACCACUGCGCCACGACGGGAACUCCGGGAUGUCAUUUUCAAUAUGAUGAUUUUCCCCCCCAGAUAUUGUAAAUGGUAUAGUUAUAUUAGUAGGUACCGUGGAUUCCAAACUUCUACUUUCAAUCCAAAGAAGUUCUAAAUAGGCAGACUUCGUACGUUUUCAUGUCUGCGCUCCCUCUUUUGAAAAUGAGUUUGUGUGGGAAAGCAACAUUGAUUUUUCACAGAGUAUAAUGACAGCUGGAUUCCAAAGUGGCAGCAAUAAAAAAUUUUUAAAGGUUAAAAAAAAAAUGGUCAGGCGGAGUUCCUGUUGUGGCUCCGCAGGAACACAUCUGACUAGUAUUCAUGCGGGUUCGAUCCCUGGCCUCACCAGUGGGUUAAGGAUCCAGCGUCACCGUGAGCUGUGGUGUAGGUCACACAGGCGGCUGGGAUCCUGUGUUGCUGUGGCUGUGGGGUAGGCCGGCAGCUGGAGCUCUGAUUCGACCC
ensembl:lncRNA